CUGAUCUCAAAUCAGGUAGGACUACCCGCUGAACUUAAGCAUAUCA
rnacentral:rRNA from 1 species